GUUUAUUCAGGCUUAGUUUCAAUUUUAAACUGUUUGCAAUAGACUUUAAUGUAAUUGCUAGGUUUAAAAGCCAUUGACAACUAAAAUUGUUUUCUAAAUUGAACAUAACUUGUAAAUUGUCUCGUUCAAACCACCA
ensembl:ncRNA R07H5.14 ncRNA